AAAACAACUAGGAGCUCUCGAAUGAAGAUUACAUUAGUCAGUUCAUUUCCGAAUGUCAUAAUGCGUACGACUAUUACGGUGAAUCCGACGCGGAGACAGGCCUUAACGACGAAUCAUUAGAUGCACCUGGUUCUGGGGAGUCCGAGUCGUCGGUCAUCAUGAGUGAGGUGACACAAGAUGAUGGGGCAAAGAAUGUCCAAGAUACUGUCAGUGCAGAUGAUAAGAGGGAUAUGU